UUUCUCACUGGAUUAUUAUUAUUAUUUUUUUUUCCCAAAUCUUUAAGCGGAGGAUGCAUAAAAUAAACCCAGAAACCUACAAACUUCUCAGAUUUUCAGAGUACAAGCGUGACAACAAUUUUCUUCCAAGUGCUAAAUUUGAAAAUAAAGAAACUAGUGAAGUGGUUUGAUCCAUGAAGCAUUUAAACAGGAGCUAGCAUUCUGAAGAGAGAUGAGGAAGACUUAUUUGGAGAGAAGACUUGAUAAUCACUAAGAAAAAUGCACAUGAUCAGCUCUCAGGGACUGUUAUUCCAUCUGCCUAACUGCUCCAGAUGAGAUUUUCUGGUUCACUGAAGUGAACGCAAAGGUUGUUAAAGCCAUUGUGAAAUAAAGAGAAAUAGUUAAA
rnacentral:lncRNA from 1 species